UACGUAGGGUCCGAGCGUUGUCCGGAAUUAUUGGGCGUAAAGGGCGCGUAGGCGGAAAUGCCAGUCAACUGUGAAAUCCCGGGGCUCAACCCCCGGAACAGCAUUUGAAACUACAUUUCUAGAGGGUAGACGGAGAAAACGGAAUUCCACAAGUAGCGGUGAAAUGCGUAGAUAUGUGGAAGAACACCAGUGGCGAAGGCGGUUUCUAGUUUAUACCGUGACGCUGAGGCGCGAAAGCAAGGGGAGCAAACAGG
rnacentral:rRNA from 1 species